GGUAUAGCAUGCAUCAUCCGAAAGUUGGAUGCCAGUGGGUGCAGGGCUUGGAGGGCUGACACCUUAGGGAUGAAGGUCCCUCUGUGCCACCUCAGCUUCCUGGGGCCACCUGGAGGAUGAGCUCCACCCAUUCCUCACUUUCUUGUUCCCCAGGUCCUGGCCAUCCUAACUGAGAACAACAGAACAGAGGGGAGAGUGCCCCCAAGAGCAACCCUCAGGGAAUCCUGGAUCUGACCAUGCCAGCCAUGCAACCAUGGGCGGGGUACAAAGAAGAGACUGGAACCUGGCCCAUUCAACCUUGCACUGGGGAAGAGCCCAGCCGAGCGCUCAGCAAAGGAGUCUGCCUGGACUGCAGAGAUCCGUGCUCCUGGACCAGCUUCGCCUGCUGACCUGCCAGACCCACUGCACCAAUCCCAGCCCAGAAGGCCCCGUGGCUCACCAACUGUUGCUGCUGUUUCCCAUGAAGCUUCGUUUGCUCUCCUAGGAGGGGGGAGGGGACAUAUUUAGAGCAGAACCCAGACCCUGUCUUACUGCCGGGUUUCCAGGGUCCUUCCACCCAGCCACCCUUCCCCCUCCCCGGUGGCUUCUUCCCACCCCCCAACUCUCCUUCCCAGGUCUUAGGGCUUCAAGACUUGCCCGUUUGCCGAGCCGAUGACAAAAAGCAGUGACUGACAGAGCGGGCCUCGGCAUGGGAGGCUGGAAUGGCAGAGGGUCCGAUGUUGAGAGAGGACGACCACCGAGGUUUUUGCCGGGGGCUGGAGAGAUGGCUCAGAGGUUAAGAGCACUAGCUGCUCCUCCAGAGGUCCUG